rnacentral:rRNA from 1 species
GACGAUCGCUGGCUGCGUGGGACCUUCGCUGGUAGUAGUCAAGCGAUGGGGUGACGCAGGAAGGUAGCCGUACCAGUCAGUGGUAAUACUGGGGCAAGCCCGUAGGACGUCAGAUAGGCAAAUCCGUCUGACACAUAGUCCGAGAGGUGAUGCAUAGCCGAUUGCGGCGAAUUCGGUGAUCCUAUGCUGCCGAGAAAAGCCUCUAGCGAGCUCACACACGGCCCGUACCCCAAACCAACACAGGUGGUCAGGUAGAGAAUACCAAGGCGUACGAGUGAACUAUGGUUAAGGAACUCGGCAAAAUACCCCCGUAACUUCGGGAGAAGGGGGACCCUCAUACCGUCAUGGCCUUCGCGGCCGGCAGCGGGAGGGGGUCGCAGAAACCAGUGAGAAGCGACUGUUUACUAAAAACACAGGUCCGUGCGAAGUCGCAAGACGAUGUAUACGGACUGACGCCUGCCCGGUGCUGGAAGGUUAAGAGGACCGGUUAACCCUUCGGGGUGAAGCUGAGAAUUUAAGCCCCAGUAAACGGCGGUGGUAACUAUAACCAUCCUAAGGUAGCGAAAUUCCUUGUCGGGUAAGUUCCGACCUGCACGAAUGGCGUAACGACUUCUCAACUGUCUCAACCAUAGACUCGGCGAAAUUGCAUUACGAGUAAAGAUGCUCGUUACGCGCGGCAGGACGAAAAGACCCCGGGACCUUCACUAUAGCUUGGUAUUGAUGUUCGAUGCGGUUUGUGUAGGAUAGGUGGGAGACUGUGAAACCCGCACGCCAGUGUGGGUGGAGUCGUUGUUGAAAUACCACUCUGAUCGUAUUGGACCUCUAACUUCGAACCAUGAAGCUGGUUCAGGGACAGUGCCUGGUGGGUAGUUUAACUGGGGCGGUUGCCUCCUAAAAUGUAACGGAGGCGCCCAAAGGUUCCCUCAACCUGGACGGCAAUCAGGUGUUGAGUGUAAGUGCACAAGGGAGCUUGACUGUAAGACUGACACGUCAAACAGGGACGAAAGUCGGGACUAGUGAUCCGGCACCCCCGAGUGGAAGGGGUGUCGCUCAACGGAUAAAAGGUACCCCGGGGAUAACAGGCUGAUCUUCCCCAAGAGUCCAUAUCGACGGGAUGGUUUGGCACCUCGAUGUCGGCUCGUCGCAUCCUGGGGCUGGAGCAGGUCCCAAGGGUUGGGCUGUUCGCCCAUUAAAGCGGCACGCGAGCUGGGUUUAGAACGUCGUGAGACAGUUCGGUCUCUAUCCGCCGCGCGCGUCAGAAUCUUGAGGAAACCUGUCCCUAGUACGAGAGGACCGGGACGGACGAACCUCUGGUAUACCAGUUGUUCCACCAGGAGCACGGCUGGAUGGCUACGUUCGGACAGGAUAACCGCUGAAAGCAUCUAAGCGGGAAACCCACUCCAAGACCAGGAUUCUCACCCUUUUAGAGGGAUAAGGCCCCCCGCAGACUACGGGAUCGAUAGACCAGACCUGGAAGCACCGCAAGGUGUGUUAGGGAACUGGCACUAACCGGCCGAAAACUUACAACA